rnacentral:lncRNA from 1 species
AAAACAAAAUAUUAAAUAAUGAUUAAAGAACCUGAAUGCGUAAUACAAUAGUCUUGAACACUCCACCACAAGCCGGUAGGAUUUGUUCUUGGAUUCUUCAAUUAAACAGUAAAUUAAAUCAAGGAAAUAAAACUGGAAUAUAACGUAAGGUUAAAUCCGGUAUAAAGUUGCACAAUAGUUUCCGGUGUAGAAACUAUUAUGCGAAAAAUAUCUAAAAGCUAAAAUGGGAAAGGUAAAUUUGCAAGGGAAGAAGAAUGUAAAGCUUGCAAAAGAAAUAAAUAAAAUAAACAAUGC